rnacentral:rRNA from 1 species
GAUGAACGCUGGCGGCGUGCUUAACACAUGCAAGUCGAACGGUGAAGCCCAGCUUGCUGGGUGGGUUAGUGUCGAACGGGUGAGUAACACGUGAGUAACCUGCCCUUUACUCUUUGAUAAGCCUUGAAAACUGUGUCUAUUAUCGCAGAUGAGCGUCCACCGCGCGUUGUGGGUUUGAGAGAUUUAUCGCGGUUGGGGAUGGACUCGCGGCAUAUCAGCUUUUUGGUGGGGUAGUGGCUUACCAAGGCUUAGACGGGUAGCCGGCCUGAGAGGGUGACCGGCCACAUUGGGACUGAGACACGGCCCAGACUCCUACGGGAGGCAGCAGUGGGGAAUAUUGCACAAUGGGCGGAAGCCUGAUGCAGCAACGCCGCGUGAGGGAUGACGGCCUUCGGGUUGUAAACCUCUUUCAGCAGGGAAGAAGCGAGAGUGACGGUAACUGGUAAAGAAGCACCGGCUAACUACGUG